rnacentral:rRNA from 1 species
CUACGGGUCGCUCCAGUGGGGAAUAUUGCGCAAUGGGGGAAACCCUGACGCAGCAACGCCGCGUGUGUGAAGAAGGCCUUCGGGUCGUAAAGCACUGUCGAGUGGAACGAGCCGGCGGAGGUUAAUAGCCUCCUGCCCCGACGGUACCACUCGAGGAAGCACCGGCUAACUCCGUGCCAGCAGCCGCGGUAAUACGGAGGGUGCAAGCGUUGUUCGGAAUGAUUGGGCGUAAAGCGCGCGCAGGCGGAUCGUUAAGUCCGAUGUGAAAUCCCUCGGCUCAACCGAGGAAGUGCAUUGGGUACUGGCGAUCUCGAGUCCUGGAGAGGGUGGCGGAAUUCCCAGUGUAGAGGUGAAAUUCGUAGAUAUUGGGAGGAACACCAGUGGCGAAGGCGGCCACCUGGACAGUGACUGACGCUGAGGCGCGAAAGCAUGGGGAGCAAACAGGAUUAGAUACCCCUGUAGUC